AAUUUGGUCGUUUAUUGAUUUUUGAAAUACCAGGAAUCAUCAGAUCAGUGUUCAUUUUCACACCAGGUUGUGUUUACGUCCUCUUCAUAUUCUAACAGAGUUUCCUUCUGAAUCAAUUUCUGGAAACACAACAGAACAAAAUGUUGCCCGGCCUCGUUUCUUUUCGCCUGACGAUGAUGAUAAUAAUAAUAGUAAUAAUAAUAAUAACUAUAAUCUCUGAAAGAAGGAUGUUUAGCCACAACAGUGUCACAGAUAUCAGGUGAAAUACUGGACGUCUUCUCCACAAACAAACCUGUUAUCAAAGAGGAAAGAAACCACUGACUUAAUAAGGCCACAAAAUGAAAAUUCACAGCAAACAGAACAUGAUAGAUAAACACGUCACACUCACACGCACAAGCUGUCGUCGGUUAUAAUCAGCUGCCAACUCUGCUGU